rnacentral:rRNA from 1 species
ACGCUAUCUACAGGCUUAACACAUGCAAGUCGAGGGGCAGCAUGGUCUUAGCUUGCUAAGGCCGAUGGCGACCGGCGCACGGGUGAGUAACACGUAUCCAACCUGCCGUCUACUCUUGGACAGCCUUCUGAAAGGAAGAUUAAUACAAGAUGGCAUCAUGAGUCCGCAUGUUCACAUGAUUAAAGGUAUUCCGGUAGACGAUGGGGAUGCGUUCCAUUAGAUAGCAGGCGGGGUAACGGCCCACCUAGUCUUCGAUGGAUAGGGGUUCUGAGAGGAAGGUCCCCCACAUUGGAACUGAGACACGGUCCAAACUCCUACGGGAGGCAGCAGUGAGGAAUAUUGGUCAAUGGGCGAGAGCCUGAACCAGCCAAGUAGCGUGAAGGAUGACUGCCCUAUGGGUUGUAAACUUCUUUUAUAAAGGAAUAAAGUCGGGUAUGGAUACCCGUUUGCAUGUACUUUAUGAAUAAGGAUCGGCUAACUCCGUGCCAGCAGCCGCGGUAAUACGGAGGAUCCGAGCGUUAUCCGGAUUUAUUGGGUUUAAAGGGAGCGUAGAUGGAUGUUUAAGUCAGUUGUGAAAGUUUGCGGCUCAACCGUAAAAUUGCAGUUGAUACUGGAUAUCUUGAGUGCAGUUGAGGCAGGCGGAAUUCGUGGUGUAGCGGUGAAAUGCUUAGAUAUCACGAAGAACUCCGAUUGCGAAGGCAGCCUGCUAAGCUGCAACUGACAUUGAGGCUCGAAAGUGUGGGUAUCAAACAGGAUUAGAUACCCUGGUAGUCCACACGGUAAACGAUGAAUACUCGCUGUUUGCGAUAUACUGCAAGCGGCCAAGCGAAAGCGUUAAGUAUUCCACCUGGGGAGUACGCCGGCAACGGUGAAACUCAAAGGAAUUGACGGGGGCCCGCACAAGCGGAGGAACAUGUGGUUUAAUUCGAUGAUACGCGAGGAACCUUACCCGGGCUUAAAUUGCAGAUGAAUUACGGUGAAAGCCGUAAGCCGCAAGGCAUCUGUGAAGGUGCUGCAUGGUUGUCGUCAGCUCGUGCCGUGAGGUGUCAGCUUAAGUGCCAUAACGAGCGCAACCCUUGUUGUCAGUUACUAACAGGUUCCGCUGAGGACUCUGACAAGACUGCCAUCGUAAGAUGUGAGGAAGGUGGGGAUGACGUCAAAUCAGCACGGCCCUUACGUCCGGGGCUACACACGUGUUACAAUGGGGGGUACAGAGGGCCGCUACCACGCGAGUGGAUGCCAAUCCCCAAAACCUCUCUCAGUUCGGACUGGAGUCUGCAACCCGACUCCACGAAGCUGGAUUCGCUAGUAAUCGCGCAUCAGCCACGGCGCGGUGAAUACGUUCCCGGGCCUUGUACACACCGCCCGUCAAGCCAUGGGAGCCGGGGGUACCUGAAGUGCGUAACCGCGAGGAGCGCCCUAGGGUAAAACUGGUGACUGGGGCUAAG